UGCAUUUCUUUUUGGCCUUCCAAAAAAUGUGUAUUUGUAUUUUGUGUAUGCACUAAAAUGUAAGUCUGCGUUGUCAGGGGCGGACCUACAGCUAAGUGAGUGGGUUCAGAUGAACCCCUGAAAAAGAAAAAAAUUCUACUUACCCUCCUAUAUAGUUUUUUUUUUGAACCCCUGAGAUUUUUAAUUUGCACCCACAGACCCAUUGACACCUCUCUCACACACUCACAGACUCACUCAUUCUCAUCUCACGAGUUUCUCACUAGGUGAUCAUGCCCUCAACCUCUUUCUCUCACUCUCAGUCUCUCACUAGGUUUGACCGUCAUCACUCAUCAAGCACACAGCACAAGCACGGCUCACCACCGGCCACCUGCUCAUCACCACACCACGCCACGCCACCACCGUCCACCAGUCCAGCCGCACGCCUCUCUAUCUCCGUAUCUCACGAGAGGGUCACUGCUCUGCGUUGGGAAUCUACACUCAACUCUCAAGAAAUGGAUCUGUGGAAGACACAUGUGCAUUCAAGCAACUUGCUAGGUUCUGCUGCAAUUUUAAGUGCAGGAGAUGGCUAACUGGGAGGUGUCUUUGGCUAUUAUUUGUAUGUUUGAUGAUUGUUUGGGGUCCUUGGCUGGUUGGUUUUAUUAAGACAGUAGGGGACGUUGGAUUGGGUUUCUACUUGAGUGGUGAUUUGGCUUUGAUAGUUUGAUUGACUUCAAAGGAAAAGGCUUAAGACUCAUGUAUAUCAACUUAGUGCUUUGUUCCAUUCUUAGUUUUAUUAAGACUGUACCUUCUUAGUGUUUUGUUCCAUUCUUUUAUUUUCUGUUUUUUUCCAUUGCUUAUUCUUUUCUUGUAUUAAGGGUUGGGGCACCCCUUGUGCCUCCUAUUAAUACAAUCUUUUGGUUUACCAAAAAAAUGUAUAUCAACUCUGUAAUUGCAGUUUUAGCUAUUUUCCUUUGUUGUA